UGGGGAAUCUUGGACAAUGGGCGCAAGCCUGAUCCAGCCAUGCCGCGUGCAGGAUGACGGUCCUAUGGAUUGUAAACUGCUUUUGUACAGGAAGAAACAGUUCUACGUGUAGAACCUUGACGGUACUGUAAGAAUAAGGAUCGGCUAACUCCGUGCCAGCAGCCGCGGUAAUACGGAGGAUCCAAGCGUUAUCCGGAAUCAUUGGGUUUAAAGGGUCCGUAGGCGGUUAGAUAAGUCAGUGGUGAAAGCCCAUCGCUCAACGGUGGAACGGCCAUUGAUACUGUCUGACUUGAAUUAUUAGGAAGUAACUAGAAUAUGUAGUGUAGCGGUGAAAUGCUUAGAGAUUACAUGGAAUACCAAUUGCGAAGGCAGGUUACUACUAAUGGAUUGACGCUGAUGGACGAAAGCGUGGGUAGCGAACAGGAUUAGAUACCCGAGUAGUCCCUGAGCGGGCUGGCAAGGCGCAU
rnacentral:rRNA from 1 species